rfam:Pan troglodytes isolate Yerkes chimp pedigree #C0471 (Clint) chromosome 16, whole genome shotgun sequence.
GCCAGGCGUGGUGGUGCACGCCUGUAAUCCCAGCUACUCAGGAGGCUGAGGCACAAGAAUUGCUUGAACCCAGGAGGCGGAGGUUGCAGUGAGCCGAGAUCACGCCACUGCACUCCAGCCUGGGUGACAGAGCAAGAUGCUGUCUCCA